rnacentral:rRNA from 1 species
AUUGAACGCUGGCGGCAGGCCUAACACAUGCAAGUCGAACGAGUGGCGGACGGGUGAGUAAUGUCUGGGAAACUGCCCGAUGGAGGGGGAUAACUACUGGAAACGAUAGCUAAUACCGCAUACUCUUGGAUGGACCUGCUUUGUAUUAGCUGGUGGGGGGGGUAAAGGCUGACCAAGGCGACGAUACAUAGCCGACCUGAGAGGGUGAUCAGCCACACUGGAACUGAGACACGGUCCAGACUCCUACGGGAGGCAGCAGUGGGGAAUAUUGCACAAUGGGCGCAAGCCUGAUGCAGCCAUGCCGCGUGUAUGAAGAAGGCCUUCGGGUUGUAAAGUACUUUCAGCGAGGAGGCGUUACUCGCAGAAGAAGCACCGGCUAACUCCGUGCCAGCAGCCGCGGUAAUAC